rnacentral:rRNA from 1 species
AUGGAGCCGGCCUUGAAAUACCACCCUUUAAUGUUUGAUGUUCUAACGUGGACCCGUGAUCCGGGUUGCGGACAGUGUCUGGUGGGUAGUUUGACUGGGGCGGUCUCCUCCUAAAGAGUAACGGAGGAGCACGAAGGUUGGCUAAUCCUGGUCGGACAUCAGGAGGUUAGUGCAAUGGCAUAAGCCAGCUUGACUGCGAGCGUGACGGCGCGAGCAGGUGCGAAAGCAGGUCAUAGUGAUCCGGUGGUUCUGAAUGGAAGGGCCAUCGCUCAACGGAUAAAAGGUACUCCGGGGAUAACAGGCUGAUACCGCCCAAGAGUUCAUAUCGACGGCGGUGUUUGGCACCUCGAUGUCGGCUCAUCACAUCCUGGGGCUGAAGUAGGUCCCAAGGGUAUGGCUGUUCGCCAUUUAAAGUGGUACGCGAGCUGGGUUUAGAACGUCGUGAGACAGUUCGGUCCCUAUCUGCCGUGGGCGCUGGAGAACUGAGGGGGGCUGCUCCUAGUACGAGAGGACCGGAGUGGACGCAUCACUGGUGUUCGGGUUGUCAUGCCAAUGGCACUGCCCGGUAGCUAAAUGCGGAAGAGAUAAGUGCUGAAAGCAUCUAAGCACGAAACUUGCCCCGAGAUGAGUUCUCCCUGAGACUUUAAGUCUCCUGAAGGAACGUUGAAGACGACGACGUUGAUAGGCCGGGUGUGUAAGCGCAGCGAUGCGUUGAGCUAACCGGUACUAAUGAACCGUGAGGCUUAACCUUACAACGCCGAAG